GCCUGUCCCGGACCGCCCGGCGUCAGACGGAGCGACGGGGCCGGCCGCAGCCUCAGCCACGCGUCCCUCGGUGGCGGGCAGGCUCCUCUUGGCCUGCAGCCUUACUUUCAUGCCCUUCUUCACAGUGUACUCAUCAGCACGGCAUAAGGAAAGAGCAGACACGGCUCCUGCCCUCAUAAUGCUUACAGUCUACAGAACAGUGCUGGGGACACAGUCCUGAGUGUUGCCUUCUGAUCAACCACUUAACUGACUGCCUGGCCUCAGGAAAGCAGCUGAGCUUAUCUGUUCUUAGUCUCCUGGGAGAUUAAGAUGAGUGAUCUAGAGGAGGAAGAUGUUGAUGAAUUCAGCUCCAGUGGUUUUAAGUGCCCAACAUGCUUUGCAGUGCAAGGAAGGAAAUGCGAUACAGAACUCAAAUGGUGUGCAGCAGAUAAAAUAAAGUGUAUUGAAUUCUCUGGCAUCAUAAACACAGGGCACAAUAAGGGAAACUGGUUAUUUUAUGAAGGCUUUGGCUGGAAUGGUGUGCUUUCCUUUAAGGAAUCAAACUUGACUUAUGGAGCCAAUAAAAGCUACUUGGGAAAACUGGCCUCAUACCUUGUCUACACAGUCCCUGUACAGGAUUCCUGAUGUGUGGUAAGUAAAGCAUGUCACUUUCUGACAGGC
ensembl:lncRNA novel transcript